rnacentral:rRNA from 1 species
UGGGGAAUCUUGGACAAUGGGGGCAACCCUGAUCCAGCGAUGCCGCGUGAGCGAAGAAGGCCUUAGGGUUGUAAAGCUCUUUCGCCCGCGACGAUGAUGACGGUAGCGGGAGAAGAAGCCCCGGCUAACUCCGUGCCAGCAGCCGCGGUAAUACGGAGGGGGCUAGCGUUGUCCGGAAUUACUGGGCGUAAAGCGCGCGUAGGCGGUCCACCAAGUCGGGGGUGAAAGCCCGGGGCUCAACCCCGGAAUGUCCUCCGAGACUGUUGGACUGGAGUUCGGGAGAGGAUAGCGGAAUUCCCAGUGUAGAGGUGAAAUUCGUAGAUAUUGGGAAGAACACCGGUGGCGAAGGCGGCUCUCUGGCCCGCAACUGACGCUGAGGCGCGAAAGCGUGGGGAGCAAACA